rnacentral:piRNA from 7 species
GGGGUUUCGUACGUAGCAGAGCAGCUC